AGCAGCCGCGGUAAUUCCAGCUCCAAUAGCGUAUAUUAAAGUUGCUGCAGUUAAAAAGCUCGUAGUUGAAUUUCGGGACCAUCAUGUCGGUCGUGCCUAGGUACGUACUGGCAUUGUUGGUUUCUACCUUCUGACGAACCAUGAUGUCAUUUAUUUGGUGUCGUGGGAAAUCAGGACUGUUACUUUGAAAAAAUUAGAGUGUUUAAAGCAGGCUCACGCUUGAAUACAUUAGCAUGGAAUAAUGAAAUAGGACGUUUGAUUCUAUUUUGUUGGUUUCUAGGAUCGACGUAAUGAUUAAUAGGGAUAGUUGGGGGCAUUAGUAUUCAAUUGUCAGAGGUGAAAUUCUUGGAUUUAUUGAAGACUAACUACUGCGAAAGCAUUUGCCAAGGAUGUUUUCAUUAAUCAAGAACGAAAGUUAGGGGAUCGAAGACGAUCAGAUACCGUCGUAGUCUUAACCAUAAACUAUGCCGACUAGGGAUCGGAUGAUGUUAAUUUUUUCAAUGACUCAUUCGGCGCCUUA
rnacentral:misc_RNA from 1 species